GGCUCAAUGGUCUAGUCGUAUGAUUCUUGCUUUGGGUAAAACGCACUGCAAGAGGCCCGUAAGUUCAACCGCACACCCACUGAAAGUUCCAUAUCUAACACAAACCAGCGGGUUCAAAUCCCGGUUGAGCCC